AACCUAUGAUUUGGGCAUUUUCUCGGUACCACUUUGAAUCUCUUCCAUGUUUCAUAGAAAGCUUAAUCUAACCCUUGUUUGAACAUAGAAAUAUCAGACUUUGCUU
rnacentral:snoRNA from 1 species